GACGAACGCUGGCGGCGUGCCUAAUACAUGCAAGUAGAACGCUGAAGGCGGAGCUUGCUUCUCUGGAUGAGUUGCGAACGGGUGAGUAACGCGUAGGUAACCUGCCUGGUAGUGGGGGAUAACUACUGGAAACGAUAGCUAAUACCGCAUAAGAGUAGAUGUUGCAUGACAUUUGCUUAAAAGGUGCAAUUGCAUCACUACCAGAUGGACCUGCGUUGUAUUAGCUAGUUGGUGGGGUAACGGCUCACCAAGGCGACGAUCCAUAGCCGACCUGAGAGGGUGGGCAGCCACACUGAGACUGUGACACGGCCCAGACUGCUACGGGAGGCAGCAAGAGGGAAACGUCAGCAAUGGACGGGAGUCUGAGCGAGCAACGCCGCAGGAGUGAGGAAGGUUUUCGGGUCGGAAAGCUCGGUUGUAAGAGAAGAACGAGUGUGAGAGUGGGAAGUUCACACUGUGACGGUAUCUGACCAGAAAGGAACGGCUAACUACGUG
rnacentral:rRNA from 1 species